rnacentral:lncRNA from 1 species
GGAAAUUGAUUUUGCUUACAAUAAGAUAAAUAGAGGAAAACAAAGUGAACCAGUAUAUUAAGAAGAUUUCUCGUGUCCUUACAAAUGACCAGUUUUCUCCUUUUUAUAGCUAUCUAUACAUUUUGCCUUUGUCGUAAUCAGGCCAUUAUAGAUAAUUAAAGGCAUUAAAUGUUACGUUACAUAAUUAUUGUAAUUUAAUACAAAUUCUUUAACGUUUUUAGUAUUUAAUGCUUAUUAAAUACUGCAUUUGUACUCUCUUGUGCUGUCAGAUUCAUUCUCCUUAAUUUGCGGAUCUAAAUAGGUAUGAGCGUCGAGUCUUUUGAGUAACUGCUCGUGCCUCUACUUGUGCGUCUGCUCGUAUCUGUUGCAACUCGUGCCUCUUUGCUAAUCAUCAUUCUUUGACCGGCCUUCGUGUCAUGACACGUCAUCUUUCAAUCACUUCGAUAUGUAAACUCAAUUUUUCCCAAUACGCUGUAAAAGUCCAAAAGUGCCUCCGCUACAAGUUUUGAGAAACUUUUUACCCUGAAAUUCAUAGAGAAUUUUAAAAGUAAGUCGUAGCCACGGAGAAGAAGUCUAAUUCAACAAAUAUUAUCUUAAACUUCUGGUGUCCAAGCCUUUCACUUGACUUAUUGACUUCUUUGGAAAUUGUUUGUCUAUGCAUGAGAAGAACUUGUUACAUAGGUUAAAGGCAUAUAUGUUUAGAAUCAUUGGACCAUCUUUUUAAAGUUCAAACAGGACUUUAAUAGAAUAAAGUGAUAUGAAUAGGAAAGCAUAUCUCUAAACUUGAAAGCAAAUAACAGGUCAAUACUAUAGGAAACAAGAUCACCCAGAGAUGCUAUUAUAUUCCAAUAAACAUACUCUUAAAAAUGGAUUGGAGAAGAUGUCAGCACCUUAGACAAAACAAAUAUGAGAGGGGAAGAAACAAACAACAAUGACCAUAAAAAAUAGAGAAACCACCAUUUUCGGGGCAAAGAUGCGUAAUACGCUAACAACCUCAAAUUUCGAGGUAAAAUGAUUCACUGUCUCACUCUAAUAACUCUCGGAUGUUUGUCGCUGCCCCUCCCUGUGUUCCACAACUACAAGAAAUUUAUCUUUUAGUGACCACUUCUU